AGGUCCUUCAAGCUUUAAGGAGACUGAAAGGGAACUCGCUAGGAGAAGAUGACAUUUGAGACAAAGCGUAUCCAGAAUGGUGACUACAUGCAGACAUGAAUAAAGCACCUUCAAUGGAUAAAGAUUCAAUGGUCGAGGUGAAGAAUAGAUUCAAGAAGAUGAGCGUGGUUCCAGAUGAAAAUUGUUUUGCUAAUGCCAUCCUCAAUCUCAAGGAACAUCAGAAACCAGCCAUUGUCAUCAGGAAUACCAGUUUCUGUGAUGUCCGUUUUUUCUACCUGAUCAAGCUUAGGCUCGCACGGUCAUGCAUUCAGCUCAAGUAUGCACGUCAAUUGCUCAUGAAAAUCGCCAGGUAUUCACGUAUGCUUAUGGAAAAGGAUGAUUGUGCACCCUGGACCGGUGCAAGUACCUGAAAGAGAAUGCUGUUGGUUGUAUGUAUACCAUUGCAAUGAGAUGCCUCCCUAUUUUGGCUUAUAUCGAAAAGGUCAGGCAACACACGCUGGCUCAGGACGUUGAUGCCACUCCCGACUUUGUCUUAGCUAAGGAAGACUGCACAAUCCCCCACAUAUCUGCCUUUAAGGUUGAAAAGGCUACCGACUUUGUUCAUCAAGACACUUUGCGUUGGCUUGAAGAGUUGGAAGAGAAACAUGACUUUAGGGUCCACGAUUCUGCUGUAAAACGAUUAAAAUAAUUUAUGGUUAGGUUUAUUAAAUGAGUUAAAUGUCCGGAGCAGAAUAUUAGAAACAAAUGAUUUUCUACAAUGAAUGUAUUCAAUUUGUGUGAAGGCUUUGAUCUGCAAUGUUUAAGGUUUUAUAAGGGCUGCUACGA